rnacentral:sRNA from 1 species
UUGGCAGGUCUGGAAACUGAAAUCCCCAUCACAGGCACAACUCAGCCAGCGGCAGUGAAAUUUUCCAGCUCACUGAUGUAUCUCAAUGCUGGCUCUAGGGGAAGCCUUUAGGUUUGAUGUGGGGAGUUCAGUCUCUAUGGCCCUGUCAAUCCUGGGCCUCU